rnacentral:lncRNA from 1 species
CAGAGGCCCUGGUGGCAUGGGCUCACAAGGGGGAUCUCCUGAUCUGUAGGCUGCACAGAUCUGUGGGAAAAGUGUGGUUUCCCAGACAGGGUAGCAUGAUCUCUCACUGCCUCCCUUGGCUGAGGGUGGGAGUUCCCCUUGCCCCGUGUGGCUCCCAGGUGGGCCGUCACACCACUCUACUUUUCCUCACUCUUCAUGAGUCACACCAACCACCUAGUCAGUCCAAAUGAGAGAACCUGGAUACCUCUGUUGACGAUGCAGGAUUCACUUGCCAUUUUGUUCUUCUCUUCGUGGGAACCUCCGAUGACAGCUGUUUCUAUUGGGCCACAUCAUGAAACUGGAGAGGUGUGAUGGGUGCAGCAUGAACCAGGACAGAGGAAAGCAGAGAGAAGGUGCUCCACACUGAUGAAGCAGCCAGAGGAAUGGGCCUUGGCAGUGGAGGGGAACAUCUGGGCUCAGGCUCUAGACACGGUCUGCAAUUUAAAAACUGGAUUGUGAUGAGAAGCAUCUGGAGUCUGAUAAAGGCUAAUUACAGUUAAGAAAUAUGAAAAUUGAGAACUCAGGAGAAGAUCAGCUUCUACUACUGCCUGGGCAGAAUAAUCAAGAAAUUAGCACAAACUGAUGGUGACCAUAAAGAGACACUAGAGGAUAAUUGAAGUAUUAACAUUAAAGAUAUUCUGGCAAGUGGUUUGUCCCUUGAGAGUCCAGGCCGUCUUCCUUGCUACAGGACAUAAUACGACUGAAGAGCUUUUCAACAAAGCAAUGGGGGCUCUGUAGGAGGGUUGCCUCAUAAGCUUGGGCUGAGGCUGGGGCAGAGGGAUGCUGGUUAAUGAGUAGGCUUUUCUGCAUGAAGCAUGAGGACCCUGGUUGGGCCCCACACUUUCAGGGUUGCUCUAACAAAGUAAAGCAAGUACAGAGAAUGGCAAUCAGAGAGAAGGGUCUGAACUCACAGCAUGGGAAAACCUUUAGAGAUGGCCAGGCUUUUUGUUGGUUGGGAAAUGGCUCUAGAUGAAUACAGUUGGCAUUUUCAGUUAUUUUAGUGAAGACAUCAUGAGGAGAGGAGAUUGUACAUAGUCUCUAGACUACCAAAGGAAUAGCUAAAACUACAUUUAAAACAUUUUUAACCAAACAUUGUUGAGCUCCUUUCACGCGCCAUACAAGGGACCUACGGUUUCC